GUCAUCUACAAUACACUAAAACCACAGAAAAAAAGUAUUAUAUUAAUAAACAAUGAAACCCCUAAUAUCAAUAAUAUUUUUUCUCAGGAAAUGCUAGUAACACUUUCUGAAAACGAUGCAUAAUACUCAAGCAUAUCUCGGGUUAUGGCUUUCCGCAAUGCCAAUAAUGCUGUUUUAAAGUGAGCUUGACAUAUUUCUUUCGCUUCCAAAUCCUCGUGCAUAGCUAUCAGACCAGCUUCCUGACAAAGAGCCACGACUUCCGCUCCUGAGCAUCCUUCCGUUUUUUCCGCAAUCAAAUCCAAGUCUACAUCCUCUGCAAACUUCAUUUUUUCAGCUUGUAUCUUCACAAUUUGCUUUCUUGCUUCAAAAUUUGGUGGUCCAACGUAAAGCAAGCGAUCCAAGCGACCUGGUCGCAUAAGUGCCGGAUCAAUCAUAUCAGGGCGGUUUGUAGCAGCAAGCACAAGUACAUUCCUAAGCGCUUCAAUCCCAUCUAAUUCAUUCAGUAAAGCUGCAACUACCCGGUCGCUACUAUUGUCUUCUCCUCGAUUCGCAGUCAAAGCAUCUAUUUCAUCAAAAAAUAUAACUGAUGGACUGGCUUGUCUUGCUUUUUGAAAAACUUGCCUAACGGCUCGUUCACUUUCACCAACGAACUUAUCAAAUAGUUCUGGUCCUUUGACAGCAAUAAAAUUCAAUCCAGUCUCUGUUGCGAUGGCUUUGGCCGUGAUUGUUUUUGAACAACCAGGAGGCCCGUAAAGAAGUACGCCUUUCGGAGGUCGAACACCCAAUCGUGAGAAGGUUUCGCCAUGAGUUAAAGGCCAUUCUACUGAUUCUUUUAGUUUCUGUUUCACCUCUUCUUGUCCUCCAAUAUCUGACCAAUGUACAUUGGGCGAUUCCAUCAUAAACUCUCUCAUAGCACUUUGUCGGACAGACGAUAAAGCAAACUCCAAAUCGUCCAUCUGCACCGCACCGAAAAUGUCUAAUCCCGAAGUGUCCUUUUGUAGUGAAAUUGUCCUUUUUAUAGCUCUUAAAGCAGCCUCACGAACAACAGCUGCUAGGUCUGCACCAACAUAAGCGUGCGUUCGUGAGGCUAGAUCUUCCAAUUGAGCAUCAUUAAUUUCAUUAGGAACACCUGAUAACAACAGUUUAAUGAUAUCUAAUCGGGCGCUUUUAUCAGGAAUACCGAUUUCGAUUUCUUUCUCUAAACGUCCGGGUCGUCGAAGUGCUUCAUCAAUAGAGUUAGGUCGGUUUGUAGCAGCAAUAACAACAACUUUUCCGGCAUUAGCCAUUCCAUCUAAUAGAGUCAACAAAGUAGCAACAGCUCUACUCUCCGCUUCACUUACGUCCUCCGUUCGUUUGGGAGCCAGUGCGUCAAUUUCGUCUAUAAAAAUGAUUGAAGGUUGAUGCGCCCGUGCGUCUUCAAAUAUUUUUCGAAGCCUAGACUCAGUUUCUCCAAGGUACUUUCCGACCACAGAAGGACCAUCGAUCGUAAACACUUGUGCAUUUGCUUCUGCAGCAACAGCCCGCAUAACCAUCGUUUUGCCAGUACCUGGAGGACCAUAUAACAGAACACCCCGAGGAGGCAUAAUAUUAAAAAACUUAAAAAGUUCGGGAUUUUGAAACGGAAGUUCUACAAUGUCACGAAUUUGGGCGAUUUGGGCUUGUAAACCACCAAUCGACGAAAAUGUUACUGCAGAAGGAGGACCGUCGAAGUUUUGAGUCUCUUCACUUCCUUGGUUGUAUGCAGACUGAGUUCUGUCUUCAUGAGGUAAUUUUAAUAAAUCAGGUGUUUCAAUUUCCAUACUGGAAGCUGCCGUAAAUUUGUAAAUACGAGGCUCAUCUAAAGACAUAUCAGAAAUUGCUUCUAUAAGGUUUGAAGGAGAACGAAUGUGAAUUUCUUUAACUUUAUAAGAGCCGGGAGAAAGCUCAUCGAGAUCUUCUGUUGCUUUUGGUUCAGAUUCAUUCACGGAGGGAGAAGAUUGAGAGGACCCUACUUCAGUACCCGAUUGCGCAGAUAAACCUGAAUUUAUUUCAAAAAUUUCCGUAGCCAUAUUCUCUGAGCUGAGAUUUUUGCUACCACUCUUUGCCAUAUUCAUCGGUGAUUCACCCAUAACAAUCAUGCCUGGAUGAAGAUACCUUAUUUCUAGCAAUUCUUUCCUUAUUAAGGACUCUGGUAUAGGUUCAUUAUUGCUACUCAAUGAAGCAACAAUUUUGAUUCCUUCAGCUUCUUUUAAAGGGUGUACAUAUUGUGAAAUGUUAACUCGCUGGAAGGCCUUCAAGUUUGCCCAUUUCGCCAAUAAAGGACUAAUUAAUAUUUCAAAUGGACCUAUUCCAUUUCCCUUAACUGAUUGGGUUAUUCCAACAGCUUCACCGCCUUUAUGUUUCAAAUAAAUUACUUGUGACGGAGAAAGCUUAAGACGAUUCAAAGCAGCAGGACUUAAGAAUACGUGUCGAGUUUGCUGCCUUCUUAAAGAGCCAUCGUUUAUUUUAACAGUGAACUUAAUAGCCACAGACAUUAAAUUCCUAGUAUGGAACAAAAUUUAAUUUUUGGUUUUUGUCAAGCCCUGUUUCAUAAAUACUGUACUACGUUCGGCUGUCCUAAAUGUGUUCUUAAUUACAAAUAACUGAAUAUCAAAUGUAAAAAGUUUUUGGAAUUAACAUUUAGUUAACAAUGAUUGUUUCUAUUACGAGUUCUUUAUUUUAAUUUGAGAAUCGAUAUUGAAACACUAUAGUACCGUAUGAAAAAACGAAUAAAUAUCCAAAUCACUAAAACUGAAUUCGUGAAUAAACUAUAUAAUGCUAGAACGUUUUUUUUUGUCUUAGGAAUUUGGUUAACUAUUUGUGCAUUUAGAAUAUCGUGUGUUUUUUGCUACAGCUAACUCCAGAAAAGGAAACAUAGGAGUAGAUCCCAUUCUAACUUAGGUCACUUCACUUGUUCCAACAGAAUAAACAUAUACUGCAUUUCUAUGUCAGUAAUCAUUAAUUACAAGGAUUGCUAUCACAUAAAACAUUUGUUUAUUGAUAUUGUGUCGAAUCGAAUUGUUAUUUAAGGUUAGGUUGAAAAGGUACGUAUAUGAGAAACAAAAUAAUUAUUUUUAUUGUAAAGCUUUUUUUUUUUUAAAAUUAAAACUUUUUUCUAUGGCAAAUUAAAAAACUC